rnacentral:rRNA from 1 species
ACGUACGCUGGCGGCACGCCUAACACAUGCAAGUCGAACGAAGUAGCAAUACUUAGUGGCAGACGGGUGAGUAACAUGUGGGUAUCUGCCCUUUGGCCUGGAAUAACACGAGGAAACUUGUGCUAAUACCGGAUAAGUCUUUACGGAGAAAGCUUUAUGCACCAUUGGAUGAGCCUGCACUUGAUUAGUUUGUUGGUGGGGUAAUGGCCUACCAAGACUGUGAUCAAUAGCUGAUUUGAGAGGAUGAUCAGCCACAUUGGGACUGAGACACGGCCCAAACUCCUACGGGAGGCAGCAGUGGGGAAUCUUGCACAAUGGAGGAAACUCUGAUGCAGCGAUGCCGCGUGAGUGAAGAAGGCCCUUGGGUUGUAAAGCUCUUUCGUCGGGGAAGAAAAUGACUGUACCCGAAUAAGAAGGUCCGGCUAACUUCGUGCCAGCAGCCGCGGUAAUACGAAGGGACCUAGCGUAGUUCGGAAUUACUGGGCUUAAAGAGUUCGUAGGUGGUUGAAAAAGUUAGUGGUGAAAUCCCAGAGCUUAACUCUGGAACUGCCAUUAAAACUUUUCAGCUGGAGUAUGAUAGAGGAAAGCAGAAUUUCUAGUGUAGAGGUGAAAUUCGUAGAUAUUAGAAAGAAUACCAAUUGCGAAGGCAGCUUUCUGGAUCAUUACUGACACUGAGGAACGAAAGCAUGGGUAGCGAAGAGGAUUAGAUACCCUCGUAGUCCAUGCCGUAAACGAUGUGUGUUAGACGUUGGAAAUUUAUUUUCAGUGUCGCAGGGAAACCGAUAAACACACCGCCUGGGGAGUACGACCGCAAGGUUAAAACUCAAAUGAAUUGACGGGGACCCGCACAAGUAGUGGAGCAUGUGGUUUAAUUCGAAGAUACGCGCAGAACCUUACCAACACUUGACAUGUUCGUCGCGACUCUAAGAGAUUAGAGUUUUCGGUUCGGCCGGACGAAACACAGGUGCUGCAUGGCUGUCGUCAGCUCGUGUCGUGAGAUGUUGGGUUAAGUCCCGCAACGAGCGCAACCCUCACUUUUAGUUGCCAUCAUUAAGUUGGGCACUCUGAAAGAACUGCCAGUGAUAAGCUGGAGGAAGGUGGGGAUGACGUCAAGUCCUCAUGGCCCUUACGUGUUGGGCUACACACGUGCUACAAUGGUAUCUACAACAGGAAGCAAGACUGCGAAGUUAAGCAAAUCCCUAAAAGAUACCUCAGUUCGGAUUGCACUCUGCAACUCGAGUGCAUGAAGCUGGAAUUACUAGUAAUCGUGGAUCAGCGUGCCACGGUGAAUGCGUUCCCGGGUCUUGUACACACCGCC